AGUCAUAGGGCAUGUCUCUAUUGGCAGGUGAUAUAGUGAUAUGGCUCUAGAAAUUCACUUGCCAAAGGAGAGCUGCCCUAUGAAU
rnacentral:pre_miRNA from 1 species